ACAAUAUGUCUUACAUGCUUACACUUGCGGAUUCUUCACUCUUCUCCAUGGUUUCAAUUUUAUCCCUUUGGUGUCAAGAGUUUAGCUUGUUUUAUACUUUUAAGGUGUAACAUUAUAAUAGGUAUGUUUUAUUCAUUCUCGUCUUAUGUUAGACUUUGCAGGACACACACCAAAGGCCAAUUUCAAAUAGAAAUACAACAGUCCACUUCACACCUGGUAUGCUAGUAUUAACUAGAGAGUACAUGAUAGAAGGGUAUUAUAGAAUUUAUAUUAUUAGUAUUGUUAGUGAUAGGGGGUAAUAAUAGAACUUAUAUUAUUAAUAUUGUAUUGGACUUUUGAGUAUUUGGGCCUUUAAUAGAACAUCCACUAUGGAAUCUAUAUAUGUAAUGUCUUUGACACAAUUAAGGAUAUCAAAAAAGAAAUCAAAAGUUAAUUUUAUCUCUAUUUUUCUUAGCUCAUUUUUAUGUCUUUCUUCUUUAUUGUUAAAACCCUAGUUCUAUAGUCUUGGUAGGAAUUUCUUCCUAUCAAUUGGUGCUUUCAUUUUCGAUCUCUUGCCUCAAAUGUUCUAAAUCUAUAUUUGAGAAUCAUGACUAUUCCAAUUUUUGAUGCAAGUGAAGAUGCCUAUUGGUGGAUUCUAUGUUUGGAGAAAUUUUUCAAAGAGCAUGAAACACCCAAAUCAUUGAAGAUUUUAAAAGCUGUUGGAGCAUUGAGAGGCUCUGCUUUCACAUGGUGGAUAGGGUGGUGUCGUAUUCAUCCGAGAUAUAAUUGGGACACAUUUACAACUGCUUUGUUAUGGCGCUUUAAACCUGAAUGGCGAGAAAUUUUACCAAUUUCGGAUGAAAAAGAGGAACCGAUUGUCGAGUCCUCAUACUUGAUGGAGCAACAUGUUACACGAGAAAUUUUGUUUGAAGAGAAACAUGAGAAGUCAGAUCUGGAACCAACUAAACCCAUAAUAGAGGAAAGUUGUAUUGUUGGGGAAGACUUAGAAGAAUCAUCAGAUCCGGAAUCAAGAAAGCUCAUUGAAGAAACUUCUUUUCAUGAAGAUUUUGUUAUGGAAAGAGCCAAUGAAGUUGUUCCUGAAAUGGUUAUAACCCCUUUGCCUAGUCAGAAGCAUCAACACAUGUUGGUGACUUCUUAUGCGGCGUCUGCAAAAUUAUUCCAGAAUAAUGAAAUUAUUGCUGAUAAAGGUGAGUUAUAUGUAUCCACAAACUCAAUCACAACAUAUUCAACGCUCAAUGCUAACUCAGUAUUACUCAUCGAUACCAAAACAACGAGAAACACAAAUGCAUCCAACUUGACCUACAAUUCCAACGAAAAUAUUUCUCCACCACCAAAGCCACCGGAGCAACCUAAUAUGUAUGAAAUCCAACCACUAUUGUUCUCGGAGGUGUCGGAUCUCGGUCAGAAAAAAACAGAGUCACCAAAGGAGCCACCGCCGAUAAUGAUUUCUGAUAAAACUUCAAUAUCGCCGCCGCCCUUGAAGCCACCAGACUUAAUCUUAUCUCAUUCACCAGAACCAAGCUUUGUUAACAAUACCCAUAUACUAGAUUUCAAUUCUUCAUCACUGAACAAGGUCGAGGUUACCUUCAAAAACAGAUAUUUUCACCGUGACGGAAAUUUUGCAAUUCCACGUAAACCACUUGAUUUACCACUGUUGAGGGUUUACAAUGCCAGUAUUCUUUUUCACUCAAAACAUAUUAAUUCCAUUUUGAAGAACAAGCAACUACUACCAAUUUCAGAACUGGACACUCUCUCAAAUCAUUUCCUGCAGAGUUUGUUUCUCCACUGGUUGCAAUCACCAGCCUCAACGCCACCGAUGCCGCAAUUGUUGAAACCACCUAAAUCUCUACUCACAGCGACAACCAUGAUUUCCGCAAGGGAGAAUAAGCAGUUAGCAGCGUAUGGCGAUACCAAUUCAUCUAGAGCUAUAUUGAUGUUUGAGCUAACGAAAUUGAUUAUAGUUAAUCCCAGUUUCAAAGUUAUGCAUGUGUUUCCUUCGUUCUCGUCAACGCGCUUGCGACAACUCGUUAAUCAAGUAUUGAAUUGGCAACACUGGUUGUGCAGGAAUCCAAAAGAAAAUCCAGAGAUCAAAACUUUGUUGACUGACCAUACUUGUUCUUCGCCUCGAAAACAAGGAUCUCGUCCGCCUUCUCUAACUAUCCGUUCUGCUGCAGAUGAUACAAAUUAUUCCUCUUAUGCAAUUGUGCCACUUUCGCCUGAUCUUUCAGUUCCUACUUCUAACGCUGUUACAACAUUUCCGGUGAAUGCAAAUCCUUCGCCAUCUUAUCAAUCACCUUAUGUUAUGGCAGUUUCCUCCUCGCCUUCUCAGUCGCCUCCUGAGAUCAUAACUUCCUCAUUGCCCGAUCCUUCAACUCAAGUCGUUGUUUCGAUGGAUGAAGAAACUUUGAAUACUCUUGAACCGAUGGAUAACAGAAUGGUGAACCAUUAUGUUCUGGAAUUUUUGAGGAAGAACAAGAAGGAUCAUAUUGAGAAGUGUUUGAGUGAUGCUAAGGUAGCCAAAAAGUAUAUUAAUCAUUCGUUCAUUUCGAAGUUGCUUGAACUGUUUGAUUCUGAGAAUCCAAGAGAAAGAGACUGUUUGAAGACAAUUCUGCUUAAGGUUUAUGGGAAGUUCAUGGCGCAUAGACCUUUUAUUCGGAAAACAGUUAACAAUUUAUUAUAUCGGUUCGAGAUUGAGGCCGAGAAACAUAACGUAAUUGCUGAGUUCUUUCCUCUUUAUGAAUUUACAAAUCUGCUUGACUUACAUGAAUUUAAUUUGUCGGGAUUGGAUUUAGAUUGUUAUGCGGAUGAGUUGUACUUACCUGUGCUCAAGGCUGAGGAUUGGAAGGAUCCUAUGGCAACUAAGCUUGAGGAUUGUGAUGGAUACUAUACUGCUAGUUCAAUUGAUUCUGACGCCAUGUCGCAUUGUUCGCGAGAGAGCUUAGACAAUGAGCAAUUUGAGAAGGUAACUGUUCCACCAAAAGUGUCUUCGAAAGCCGUUAACAGAUCCAUUAUAAAGGAACUUGUUGUGGUUAGAGGUAUUACUCCAACUCCUCUUGGUGAAGGAAAAUAUACUACUAUUGUUGGUCUCUGUCAAGCCUUAGGUGUUUUUCUUGAUAAAAAGGUGGUCACAUGUGUUUGUCAACCAUCACAAGGACCUACUUUUGGAACCAAAGGAGGUGCAUCUGGUUAUAGCCAAGUGAUUCUCAUGGAUGAAUUCAAUCUUCAACUAACAGUAGAUAUCCAUGUUAUAACUGCAGCAAGCAAUCUUCUAACUGCUGCAAUUGAUGCCCAGAUUUUCCAUGAAUCAAUGCAAUCAGAUAAAUCUAUUUUCAACCGGUUAUGCCAAGCAAAUAAAGAAGAAAAAUUGAGCUUUAAUGAUGUCAUGUUUAGCCGUCUCGAGAAACUAGUAUUGUAGCUGCUAAUGAAAUUGCUUCGACAGGCAUUUACAAAAGCUUUAAUUAUGCUGGAACAAGGCUUAUGUAAAUCAAACAAAGACUAUUCUAUCUACAAAGGGUUUAGGCAACAAAGAAUUUCAAUCUUUAGGAAGAAAGCUUCCAUCACAAAAGCUGUGGCAAUUCCAGCGGAAAACACUGAUGAAUACAG